rnacentral:rRNA from 1 species
GGUGAAAAGCACCCCGGAAGGGGAGUGUAAGAGAAGCUGAAACCGUUUGCCUACAACCAUGCAAUGCCCGUUAAUGGUUGAUGGCGUGCCUUUUGUCGAAUGAACCGGCGAGUUUCGAUUGCAUGCGAGGUUAAGUUGAAGAGACGGAGCCGCAGCGAAAGCGAGUCUGAAUAGGGCGUUUGAGUAUGUAGACGUAGACCCGAAACCAUGUGAUCUACCCAUGUCCAGGUUGAAGGUGCGGU